UGGGGAAUUUUGCACAAUGGGGGAAACCCUGAUGCAGCGACGCCGCGUGAUUUAGAAGGCCUUCGGGUUGUAAAAAUCUUUUCUAUGGGAAGAAAAUGACAGUACCAUAGGAAUAAGGACCGGCUAAUUACGUGCCAGCAGCCGCGGUAAUACGUAAGGUCCGAGCGUUGUCCGGAAUCAUUGGGCGUAAAGCGCGCGCAGGUGGUUUAGAAAGUCUGAUGUGAAAGCCCACGGCUCAACCGUGGAGGGUCAUUGGAAACUAAUAAACUUGAGUGCAGGAGAGAAAAGUGGAAUUCCUAGUGUAGCGGUGAAAUGCGUAGAGAUUAGGAGGAACACCGGUGGCGAAAGCGGCUUUUUGGCCUGCAACUGACACUGAGGCGCGAAAGCGUGGGGAGCAAACAGG
rnacentral:rRNA from 1 species